rnacentral:rRNA from 1 species
GAUGAACGCUGGCGGCGUGCCUAAUACAUGCAAGUCGAGCGAACAGACGAGGAGCUUGCUCCUCUGACGUUAGCGGCGGACGGGUGAGUAACACGUGGAUAACCUACCUAUAAGACUGGGAUAACUUCGGGAAACCGGAGCUAAUACCGGAUAAUAUAUUGAACCGCAUGGUUCAAUAGUGAAAGACGGUUUUGCUGUCACUUAUAGAUGGAUCCGCGCCGCAUUAGCUAGUUGGUAAGGUAACGGCUUACCAAGGCAACGAUGCGUAGCCGACCUGAGAGGGUGAACGGCCACACUGGAACUGAGACACGGUCCAGACUCCUACGGGAGGCAGCAGUAGGGAAGCUUCCGCAAUGGGCGAAAUCCUGACGGAGCAACGCCGCGUGAGUGAUGAAGGUCUUCGGAUCGUAAAACUCUGUUAUUAUGGAAGAACAAAUGUGUAAGUAACUAUGCACGUCUUGACGGUACCUAAUCAGAAAGCCACGGCUAACUACGUG